rnacentral:rRNA from 1 species
GUCGUAACAAGGUUUCCGUAGGUGAACCUGCGGAAGGRUCAUUAUCGUACAAAAUGUGAGAGGGGCAYGCGAGGGCUGUCGCUGACUCAAAGUCGUGCACGCCCGAGUGUGUCGCCUCACAUAAUAAUCCAUCUCACCCUUUGUGCAUCACCGCGUGGGCACCCCUUUGGGAUCAUCUCGGAGGGGGCUCGCGUUUUCACACAAAACCCCCCUUUUAAAAGUGUAGAAUGACCUCAUUUAUGCGCUAACCCGCAAUCAAUACAACUUUCAACAACGGAUCYCUUGGCUCUCGCAUCGAUGAAGAACGCAGCGAAAUGCGAUACGUAAUGUGAAUUGCAGAAUUCAGUGAAUCAUCGAAUCUUUGAACGCACCUUGCGCCCCCUGGUAUUCCGAGGGGCACACCCGUUUGAGUGUCGUGAAAACCUCAACCUCCUUGGUUUCUUCUGGAGACCAAAGCAGGCUUGGACUUUGGAGGCCUUUGCUGGCACCUCUCGCCAGCUCCUCUUAAAUGAAUUAGCAGGGUCCUCUUUGCUGAUCCUCGACGUGUGAUAAGAUGUUUCCAUGUCUUGGUUUCUGGCUCUGUCACCUUUGGGACCCGCUUCUAACCGUCUUCAACCUUGCGUUGAGACAACGUUCGAGCAUGUCUCCCUUCUCGGGAAGCUCCCUCGACCCCACGAACCCUUGACCUCAAAUCGGGUGAGACUACU